rnacentral:rRNA from 1 species
AGUGAACGCUGGCGGUAGGCCUAACACAUGCAAGUCGAACGGCAGCACAGUAAGAGCUUGCUCUUACGGGUGGCGAGUGGCGGACGGGUGAGGAAUACAUCGGAAUCUACUUUUUCGUGGGGGAUAACGUAGGGAAACUUACGCUAAUACCGCAUACGACCUACGGGUGAAAGCAGGGGAUCUUCGGACCUUGCGCGAUUGAAUGAGCCGAUGUCGGAUUAGCUAGUUGGCGGGGUAAAGGCCCACCAAGGCGACGAUCCGUAGCUGGUCUGAGAGGAUGAUCAGCCACACUGGAACUGAGACACGGUCCAGACUCCUACGGGAGGCAGCAGUGGGGAAUAUUGGACAAUGGGCGCAAGCCUGAUCCAGCCAUGCCGCGUGGGUGAAGAAGGCCUUCGGAUUGUAAAGCCCUUUUGUUGGGGAAGAAAAGCAGCAGGUUAAUACCCCGCUGUUCUGACGGUACCCAAAGAAUAAGCACCGGCUAACUUCGUG